AAGUCGAGCGGAAGAAGGGAGCUUGCUCCCGGAUGUUAGCGGCGGACGGGUGAGUAACACGUGGGUAACCUGCCUGUAAGACUGGGAUAACUCCGGGAAACCGGAGCUAAUACCGGAUAGUUCCUUGAACCGCAUGGUUCAAGGAUGAAAGACGGUUUCGGCUGUCACUUACAGAUGGACCCGCGGCGCAUUAGCUAGUUGGUGAGGUAACGGCUCACCAAGGCGACGAUGCGUAGCCGACCUGAGAGGGUGAUCGGCCACACUGGGACUGAGACACGGCCCAGACUCCUACGGGAGGCAGCAGUAGGGAAUCUUCCGCAAUGGACGAAAGUCUGACGGAGCAACGCCGCGUGAGUGAUGAAGGUUUUCGGAUCGUAAAGCUCUGUUGUUAGGGAAGAACAAGUGCAAGAGUAACUGCUUGCACCUUGACGGUACCUAACCAGAAAGCCACGGCUAACUACGUGCCAGCAGCCGCGGUAAUACGUAGGUGGCAAGCGUUGUCCGGAAUUAUUGGGCGUAAAGGGCUCGCAGGCGGUUUCUUAAGUCUGAUGUGAAAGCCCCCGGCUCAACCGGGGAGGGUCAUUGGAAACUGGGAAACUUGAGUGCAGAAGAGGAGAGUGGAAUUCCACGUGUAGCGGUGAAAUGCGUAGAGAUGUGGAGGAACACCAGUGGCGAAGGCGACUCUCUGGUCUGUAACUGACGCUGAGGAGCGAAAGCGUGGGGAGCGAACAGGAUUAGAUACCCUGGUAGUCCACGCCGUAAACGAUGAGUGCUAAGUGUUAGGGGGUUUCCGCCCCUUAGUGCUGC
rnacentral:rRNA from 1 species